AGAGUUUGAUCCUGGCUCAGGACGAACGCUGGCGGCGUGCUUAACACAUGCAAGUCGAACGGAAAGGUCUCUUCGGAGAUGCUCGAGUGGCGAACGGGUGAGUAACACGUGGGUGAUCUGCCCUGCACUUCGGGAUAAGCUUGGGAAACUGGGUCUAAUACCGGAUAGGACCACGGCCUGCAUGGGCUGUGGUGGAAAGCUUUUGCGGUGUGGGAUGGGCCCGCGGCCUAUCAGCUUGUUGGUGGGGUGAUGGCCUACCAAGGCGACGACGGGUAGCCGGCCUGAGAGGGUGUCCGGCCACACUGGGACUGAGAUACGGCCCAGACUCCUACGGGAGGCAGCAGUGGGGAAUAUUGCACAAUGGGCGCAAGCCUGAUGCAGCGACGCCGCGUGGGGGAUGACGGCCUUCGGGUUGUAAACCUC
rnacentral:rRNA from 1 species